GUUGAAAUCCAUCCUUCUCCGUCAGCGUUUAAAGUUCCUUGAGAAUUAAAAUCGUCAGCACUAAGUUUCUUUGUCCAUACCCAUAAUCUCGGGUUCUUUUUGCCCGGGGUGAGUUUUGGCGAGUAUGAGAAAUCUUGGAAGCUUUUUGGAAUUUUUUUGGUAUUUCAAGACACUAAGUUUGCGUUUUGAAAGUUGAGUCUGUUGCAGAUAAUUACGAAUCCCAGAUCCCAGGGACAGGCUAGGAUGUUUGCGUCUCUCCGAAGGUAUUUCAUCGUAUAGAAGCCUGUAAAAUGUUGCCUCCAUGGACCUUCAUUCUUCAGAAAUUUCUGCAUGGAAAAGGAAAUUAACCGGUGUCUGUGUGUGACGUGCAUUCAUAACCAACACUAUCUUCUCAGCUUCAAUGUUGCUGUUCCAUGCAAGAGACGACCAUGGGCAGAGAUGGAGGUGCUUCUGAGCUGCUGGCCUCAGGCUCCCCAGGCCCCUUCUUCACUCCUCCUCUGGAACUUGGACCACAAGCGUCGUGGAAUAGCCACCUUUCUCCCCUUCUUGCUUUUGCUGGUCUGGAUCCUGCCCAUCCUUCCGGCUCC
ensembl:lncRNA